GAAUAUCGGAGAGUAUCCAAUCUAUACACAUCAUAAACGGUGUAAAAAUGUUUCAUGGAAAAAACAAACAAAAUAAAAAGCAAAGACAAAAGACAAAGACAAAAACCAACACCAUCACCACGGUGAUAACAGAUGAUGCUGAUUCAAUAUCUGCAACCAAUUCUAGCCAAAUACUUGGAAAGCUGGACUCUACAACCUAUACUCUACAACAAAU